rnacentral:rRNA from 1 species
GACGGAAGGUGCAAGCGUUGCUCGGAAUCACUGGGCGUAAAGGGUGCGUAGGCGGCUUGGUAGGUCUGGUGUGAAAGCCCCGGGCUCAGCCCGGGAAGGGCACUAGAAACUGCCAAGCUAGAGUGCCGGAGGGGAGAGUGGAAUUCCUGGUGUAGCGGUGAAAUGCGCAGAUAUCAGGAGGAACACCGGUGGCGAAGGCGGGUCUCUGGGCCGAAAUUGACGCUGAGGAGCGAAAGCGUGGGGAGCAAACAGG